GUAGGGAAUAUUGGGCAAUGGAGGCAACUCUGACCCAGCCAUGCCGCGUGCAGGAUGACGGCCCUCUGGGUUGUAAACUGCUUUUAUACGGGAAGAAAAAAUACUACGUGUAGUAUACUGACGGUACCGUAAGAAUAAGGAUCGGCUAACUCCGUGCUAGCAGCCGCGGUAAUACGGAGGAUCCAAGCGUUGUCCGGAUUUAUUGGGUUUAAAGGGUGCGUAGGCGGAUCUUUAAGUCAGUGGUGAAAGCCUGCAGCUUAACUGUAGAAUUGCCAUUGAAACUGAAGAUCUUGAAUGUGGUUAAAGUAGGCGGAAUGUAUCAUGUAGCGGUGAAAUGCUUAGAUAUGAUACAGAACACCGAUAGCGAAGGCAGCUUGCUGAACCAUUAUUGACGCUGAGGCACGAAAGCGUGGGGAGCGAACAGGAUUAGAAACCCUUGUAGUCC
rnacentral:rRNA from 1 species